AGCAUUGAAACACCAUUUCCCAUAUGUUCACCUAAGUUAAGCAACAUUGAGCUUGGUCAGUAUCUAGAUGAGUAACCACUUGGGAAUACCAGGUGCUGUAAG